ACGGCAGCACGGGAGCAAUCCUGGUGGCGAGUGGCGAACGGGUGAGUAAUAUAUCGGAACGUACCUUUCAGUGGGGGAUAACGUAGCGAAAGUUACGCUAAUACCGCAUAUUCUGUGAGCAGGAAAGCAGGGGAUCUUAGGACCUUGCGCUGAUUGAGCGGCCGAUAUCAGAUUAGCUAGUUGGUGAGGUAAAGGCUCACCAAGGCGACGAUCUGUAGCGGGUCUGAGAGGAUGAUCCGCCACACUGGAACUGAGACACGGUCCAGACUCCUACGGGAGGCAGCAGUGGGGAAUUUUGGACAAUGGGGGCAACCCUGAUCCAGCCAUGCCGCGUGAGUGAAGAAGGCCUUCGGGUUGUAAAGCUCUUUCAGCCGGGAAGAAAACGCAUGGGUUAAUACCCUGUGUGGAUGACGGUACCGGAAUAAGAAGCACCGGCUAACUACGUGCCAGCAGCCGCGGUAAUA
rnacentral:rRNA from 1 species